GAAUUUCAGUUAUUCUAGCUGUUAAUUCCUUGUGUCAAGUUCAGAAAUGGCAUCACAGGUGUUUCUGAUUGGUCAGGUGUAUUCAAUUACUUCCUUCCAGCAUGUGUGACAGUUUUCAGUAAGCAGUUUUUAUUUUUGCCUUUUUAUUUCCUUGGAACUCUUAUCAGUACUUGUCAACAUGGGGUCUGGCGUUGUGCCAAUGAAAGUCAAGGAAGCCAUUAUUAGGCUGAGAUAAGAAACUGUCAGUCACAGGCCAAACUUUAGGCUUAUAAAAAUUAACUCUUCAGGACAUCAUUAAGAAGAAAUAGAUCCCUGGGGCACUCAGAAACAAAGAGUCUGUUUUCUGUGGACAGUAGCCAUCGACAGAUCCACAACUGCCUCCUGAGUGUUUCUGAUCUGUUGGACAGCUUGGGGUUUUCUUCAUUUUGCAUUUUUAGGGGGCCAAAUUGCUAAUGGUCACAUAAUGUCAUUACCACACAAGGUCAAGGAGUUAGUUGCUUCGAAUACCUUUUUACUGAUGAAAACGGCUCAAAGAAACAACAACAGAAGAAAGUGAACAGUGAGAAAUGUUAAGUACUGCACUGUACAGUCUUUUUUGUAUAAUGUGCCGGUAUUUGUGUGUGUAUUCUUGGUUAUAGUUUUUCUUUCUUAAUGUAAGAAUCCAGAGAAUAUGUUGGAUUGUGACAUUAAAAAAACACAAAGGACAUUUCCAGGAUGGAAUUCAGCCAUACAAAAGCAGUCAAAGUUUGUAAGAAUAUGAUUUUGUUGUAAUAAUAAUAACAAUAAUAAUAAUUUUGUAAAACAUUUGUAAUACUCAAGUAGAAAAAAAUUCAAAUAUGGUUGUUAGAAUUUUCACGUAAAUUAAUGGCAAUAUAUGAAUAAUGAAAUAGCCAAUUCUUAAUUGAUCUACAAGUUUUUGUAAUCUCUUUAAAUUGUCAGAUUCGGUUAUUUGUCCUAUGUUUUCGUGAAUGCGCUGCUUUCUAAAAGCUUUGGUUUGUUUUGUUGCUAAUCAUGUUACCAUUGCUACCUAUUUCAAUAAAGAAAAUCAAGGAAAAAGACACA